UAAACUAGGAUUAGAUACCCUAUUAUUCUAAUUGGCUAGGAGAUUAGCAAGAGUUUUGAGCUAAGAAAAUUGGCGGUUUUUUUACAACUUAGAGGAAUUUGUCUCGUUAGGGAUAUGACACCGUCAGAUUUACAAUUUUUCAGGUUUUUAUACCGCUGUUGUCAAGAUACUUUUGAAGCAAGUAUCUGAAAUCUUUUGAGAAAGAACUUCAAGUCGAGGUGAAGCAAUAAAAUUGAGAGGAUGAAUUACAAUAAAAAUUUUUAAUACGGAGUAAGAAUUUUAAUUUUUUAUGAAGGUGGANUUAAAAGUAAGUUWAGAUGAUAGACUGAAUUUUGUUCAGAAAAAUGUACAUAUUGCCG
rnacentral:rRNA from 1 species